rnacentral:lncRNA from 1 species
AUACACAAAACUUGAGCCUGCUGAUGCCAGACAUGCUAUAGAGCAUCACUGGAAUUGCUCUUGUAAAAUGGAAACAGCGAAGCAACCGGAGAGCUUUACUAUCAGUUAUCUGAGGAGACACCACAACUUCAGUAGAGGAAUUUUGGAGGAGGAAGUUUCUGUGCAGAGAAUCUGAUGAAGGGUCUGUUCCCGAAGACCACAAACCGAACCCACCAAACUAUACAUCGCUUUCAUGCCCAGAGUUCCUCUGAAGAUGCCCAGGGUUGCACAACCAUGAUAAGAGAAAGGGAAGAGACAGCCUGA